AACAAUGCAGCCCAAUCUACCAAGGAGACAAUGCAAGAUGUUGGUCAGAAUGUGCAUGCGAAGGCUCAAGGAGCUGCUGAUGCAGUCAAGAAUGCAACUGGCAUGAACAAAUGAAGCUGCUCAUGAUGAUCAUUUUCAUGACUUUUAAUGACUUUAUAGAGUUAAGAUGAUGACAAACUUUGUUUGAGUUUUAUAGACUUUUAUGUAAUUUUUUUUUCUUUCUUACUCUUCUUUUGAACGAAGGAACUGAAAAUUGCAUAGAAUUCUAAAAUGAUUGAAUUUAGAUCCCCAUCGUUUUCAUUUAUGGUAAUUAAUAAUUUUAGUAUUCGGAUUUAUGUAUGUUAAAUUUUGUAAAUGACAUAAAUUUUAGGGGAAAACGAAUUCUAAUAUCUUUUGAUCACGAUGAAUUAACUCAUGAGAUCUAUAUAACCAAAAUAAUUAUUCAUGUAGAGAUUGAUGAAUAAUAUCAAUUACGACUCUUGAGAUUGGGGCCCAAUUCGUUGGGUUUGAGACUUUUUCAUCUUUUAUUUCUAAAGACAUCGUUUUGGGCUUGGGUGCCUUAGUGCUUUUUGAAAUAUCCACAAGUUUACUAAACACAUUAAUGACAUGUUUAUUAAUCCGUAAUUAGAUUAGGAGCAAUUGAAUUGAUGAUGAAUUGAAUUGGGAAGGAGUUAGAUUGAGGAGAAUUAGAUUUCGGAUUCCUAUUGAAGUUCUUUACUAAACCGUAUGGAUUGAGGAGAAUUAAAUUCCGGAUUUCUAUUGAAGUUGUUUACUAAAUCAUAUGGAAUUGAGGUAAUAGUGGUACUAAUUACUAAAAUGACCUCGUUGUUUGGUUAAAGUAGAUGGCAAAUUUGAAAUUUUGAAAAUUGAGGAUAUAAUGGGUAACAAAGAUGAAUUCCUAAUAGAUUAGUUCUCCAGGAAUUAGAAUACCACUUCCCACCGAAGAAUUGAGUUUCUCCAAAAUUAGGAAUUCAAUUCCUAAUUUUAUAUGGCCCCACUUACUUUUUAAUUCUUUGAUGUGAAAUAAACACAGGAAUUCUCCAUAGGUGGAAUUCAAUUCUUGAUUAGUAAAAACACAAUAAAAUGCACUCAGGUCAAGAAACAGAACUCCGAAAAUCAGAGAUACAAGAGAACCAAACCAACACAAAAAUACAAAAUGUGAAUGAACUUGGGGAAACUAUCAAAUAGAAAAUUUUAUAUAGAGCUGGUGUAUGCAUUAUUUUUCUCGUAAUAAGUAUUCACAUAACCAAGCACGUGAAAGAAUGUAACGUGCAUGAAAGAGUUGGUGUAUGCAUUAUUUUUCUCGUAGUAAGUGGUCAAAUAACUAAGCACUUAAAAGAAUAUAGCGUGCAUGAUAAUGUAUAAAACUCAUUACAAGUAAGAUUUUUUGCGGUUAAAAGUAAAAUGCAUACUUGUCCAUAAACUUAGGGACAAUAUCGCUUUUAACUCAUGUGGAGGAUAACCCAACAAGUUUAUUAGCAUUUACUCAUAAGAUGUUUUGGUCUUUCUAUCAAAUAACAAUAUCUUGUGAGUCUUGCGAAUUAUAAUUAAUUGAUAAUGUAUUUUUAGGCGUAGUAAUUAAGGAAAUAUAAUCCAAUAUUAUAAGAAUUCCAUAAUACUGAAAAAAGUAAUUUCCAUAUUCAAAACUGUCUGAACCCUAAGAAUAGCAACUGUAGAUGAAGAUAAGACUCAACAGCCUUGUCCUGGUCCGAAAGGCUCAUCCCAAGUUAUAAGGCGACACGUGUUAUGGUCCAAAGCCAUGAAAUGUGUGAAUAGCUUCCGCAUGGCAUCACACGUGUCGAGCAUUCAGCUGGUUGAAAAUUCUAUAUAAACCCUACCCAAAUGUGAAAUAUUCAUCAUCAGCAAAUCAAAUUCGUGUUAUAAAAACUACAUCUGAAUUUCAAGUGCUUUCCUCCAGUUUCCAAGAAAACAAAGCAAGAAAAAAAUGGCUUCCAACUCUGAGAAGGUGAGCUACCACGCUGGUGAGGCCAAGGGCCAAGCUCAGGUAAUUUUCUUCACCUAUUAUUCUCCAUUUGUUCCUGCAUUUUUUGUUGUUGAAUAUUACAUAAUUUAUGCUGAAUGUGCAUUGAGAUUGAUGUAAUUUUUCAUUUAACAGGAGAAGGCGAGUGGGGUGAUGGAUAUGGCAAACAAUGCAGCCCAAUCUGCCAAGGAAACAAUGCAAGCGGCAGGCCAGAAUGUGCAGGCCACGGCUAUAGGAGCUGCUGAUGCAGUCAAGAAUGCCACUGGCAUGAACAAAAAAUGAAGCUAGCUGCUCAUCAUGAUCUCAAUAUGAGCAUUUGCAGUUUUUUUUUCUUUUUUUUGGGAGCUUUCUAGUAGUUGCUUUUGAUUUCUGUCUUCUAAACAAGGGAGCUCUAAGUCCUCUGGAGUUCUCAUCAUCUGGGUGUGUACUUUCGUUCACACUUGGUUUUAGUUUUUGUUUUCUUUUUCUUUUUGUUCAUGUUUAUCUCCUUUGAACAAGGAAAGUGGGCUCUGCCUAUUGUAGUUCUCACCUAAUUGAAUCAUAUGCUGUUUUUAAUCCCAUCUAUAUGUUCAAGAUUGGUCCUUUGUUUAUGCAGAUGAGCAAAAUCCGACCUAAGAGUUUCUGAAAAUAAAAAACAUAAAAAAAAGAAGAUAUAAAUUAAUUAAGCAAGUGCGACAACUCAUAAUUAAGAGAAGCUACUUUUGCAUCUGAUAGAAUUUUAUUGAUAAUGCGGGAUGAAAAUAAGUAAAAAAAUUAAGCUAUGUCUAAAUAAUUAGGUGAGCAUCUCUACACAUAAUGACGUAGUGGUCGUCGAACUAUCUAGAUAGUCUAUCUUCUCAACCUUCUCUCGUCGGACUACCUAUAGAUAGCCUCUCGUCGGACUACCUAGGUAGCCUACCUUCUCAACCUUCUCAACUACAAACGAAAAAAAUAAAAACCUUGCCACCGUUAGAGCGGCCCCAUCUCUCUAAGAUUAGCUACUUAACUAUAGAACAAUAUCGUGACUAUGUAGCUAAGUAGCUUUCCCACAUCAAAGAAAUUUCUGUGACCUUCUUCCGUGAAAUUAAAGUACCAUAAUUUGUUGAAAAUUAAAGCACUUUUGUCGAGAAAUAUCUAGAAAAAUCUAGAUAAGAUCACCGACCAAGCUAAAGUCUACAUAUGCCAGAACUGUCAUAUGAAAUAUCCAAUAUGGUACUAUUAGAUUGAUAAUACGAUAAAAACUAGUGGAGACCACAAAGUUGUGGUUAGGAAUGUAGCAGCAGCUCGGCUGAAAAUGUGUGGUUAGGAACAAAACAAGCCCAAGUGGGUGGAGCUUCAGCAUGUCGGCUGCUGUCAUCUGUAAAUGAAUUUGGUAUGUUUAUUUUAAAAUAAAUUAAUCCAUAAUUACAUUAAAUUACCUUUAUUAGUGGGAGUUAAAUUUCCAUUAAUAUGACUCAACUGCUUUAUGCUUGUGUCCAUUAACGUCUUUCUUGGUGGUAUACUAUGUGUAUAUGUUAGUUAUAGCUUGAAAAAGAAAAAGAGAGAAGCCACAGCCUUCUUCCUCUUAUGAUAAAAUUUGGGUUACUAACAAUACAUUUACAUUAAUUACUCUCUCUUGUAGAAAUGUGAUAUUAAUUUAUUGAUUGCAAUCAUUAAUAAAAUUUAGAGGAUUGACGGUAAUGACAAUAUGUAUAAAUGUUUUAAAAACAGUGGCCAAGGUUUUGUGUACUUGGUAGGCUUGUUAAGUUGCUGGACCCAAUUCUACAUCAAAAGAGAGGUGGAGUGCAUUUAUAGUGCAAACUCAAAAUUGGACCUAUAUCAAAAGACUCAUUCUUUUAAUUUAUGUAUUGAGAUUUCUAAGCAACAUAGUUAGAAAGGUGUUUGUUACCUUUUCUAAACUGCUUGCAUAAAUUGGGCGUAGAGCCGCGAAACGUCUGAAAGAGAACGACUUCGUACGUGACUCAUCCCAAGAAUCGUUCCAAACUACAUACUAAAUUUUUCGUGUAAUAUUGUUCUCUUAUUUUAAUUUGUUCAUCAACAAUUUAAAGACCUUUUCAUCUGCCAUUGAUGUGAAUAAUAAGGCUUAUAGAUUCUAUGACCAAAAGAACCAUGUUGUACUUGAAUCUAAAUGAUGUUUAAAAAAAAAGAAGAUAAAUUCUCAUAUAAAUUGAGAAAUUGUGGGGACUCAAGUUCUAGUAAUACAUCUUUCCCAUAAAUCAUGAACCUAGAUGUAUAGAACAUUUUUAACCAACUUAGAACCAAGGAAGAGUAAGAAAACGAAUUGCCAAGGAUUUUGGACCUAAUUUUCAUGUUCAUACCUUAGAGCAAGGAUUUUGGACCUAACUUUCACACUUGGUUUUUGUUUUUGUUCAUGUUAUCUCCUUUGAACAAGGAAAGUGGGCUCUGCCUAUUGUAGUUCUCACCUAAUUGAAGCAUAAUCUUUUUUCAUGUGCUGGUGUUAGAAUUAUCUUCAUCCUUUACUUCGAUUUAAUCCCAUCUAUAUAUUCAACUAGACAACGAUAGAAUCGUGACUGAAAAACUGCCGCUGAUGCCUUGCAAGAGACGAUGGUCACGUAUACGACGAUUAUGUGUCACAUAAGAGGACUGCACUGUGUCUAGAAAAAUCUAGAUAAGAUACCGACCAAGCUAAAGUCUACAUAUGCCAGAACAGUCAUAUAAAGUAUCUCGGCUGAAAAUAUGUGGUUAGGAACAAACAAGCCCAAGUGGGUGGAGCUUGGGCAUGUCGGCUGCUGUCAUUUGUAAAUGAAUUU
rnacentral:lncRNA from 1 species